rnacentral:rRNA from 1 species
GAUGAACGCUAGCGGGAGGCCUAACACAUGCAAGCCGAGCGGUAUUGUUUCUUCGGAAAUGAGAGAGCGGCGUACGGGUGCGGAACACGUGUGCAACCUGCCUUUAUCUGGGGGAUAGCCUUUCGAAAGGAAGAUUAAUACUCCAUAAUAUAUUGAACGGCAUCGUUUAAUAUUGAAAGCUCCGGCGGAUAGAGAUGGGCACGCGCAAGAUUAGCUAGUUGGUGAGGUAACGGCUCACCAAGGCGAUGAUCUUUAGGGGGCCUGAGAGGGUGAUCCCCCACACUGGUACUGAGACACGGACCAGACUCCUACGGGAGGCAGCAGUGAGGAAUAUUGGUCAAUGGGUGCAAGCCUGAACCAGCCAUCCCGCGUGAAGGACGACUGCCCUAUGGGUUGUAAACUUCUUUUGUAUAGGGAUAAACCUACCCUCGUGAGGGUAGCUGAAGGUACUAUACGAAUAAGCACCGGCUAACUCCGUGCCAGCAGCCGCGGUAAUACGGAGGGUGCAAGCGUUAUCCGGAUUUAUUGGGUUUAAAGGGUCCGUAGGCGGACUUAUAAGUCAGUGGUGAAAGCCUGUCGCUUAACGAUAGAACUGCCAUUGAUACUGUAAGUCUUGAGUAUAUUUGAGGUAGCUGGAAUAAGUAGUGUAGCGGUGAAAUGCAUAGAUAUUACUUAGAACACCAAUUGCGAAGGCAGGUUACCAAGAUAUAACUGACGCUGAGGGACGAAAGCGUGGGGAGCGAACAGGAUUAGAUACCCUGGUAGUCCACGCCGUAAACGAUGCUAACUCGUUUUUGGGCUUUAGGGUUCAGAGACCAAGCGAAAGUGAUAAGUUAGCCACCUGGGGAGUACGCUCGCAAGAGUGAAACUCAAAGGAAUCGACGGGGGCCCGCACAAGCGGUGGAUUAUGUGGUUUAAUUCGAUGAUACGCGAGGAACCUUACCAAGACUUAAAUGGGAAUUGACAGCUUUAGAAAUAGAGCUUUCUUCGGACAAUUUUCAAGGUGCUGCAUGGUUGUCGUCAGCUCGUGCCGUGAGGUGUUAGGUUAAGUCCUGCAACGAGCGCAACCCCUGUCACUAGUUGCCAUCAUUCAGUUGGGGACUCUAGUGAGACUGCCUACGCAAGUAGAGAGGAAGGUGGGGAUGACGUCAAAUCAUCACGGCCCUUACGUCUUGGGCCACACACGUAAUACAAUGGCCGGUACAGAGGGCAGCUACACAGCGAUGUGAUGCAAAUCUCGAAAGCCGGUCUCAGUUCGGAUUGGAGUCUGCAACUCGACUCUAUGAAGCUGGAAUCGCUAGUAAUCGCGCAUCAGCCAUGGCGCGGUGAAUACGUUCCCGGGCCU